UUAUUCAACCUUAAAAUAACAUUAUUUAAAUGCGUCUGUAAUUGUUGAAUACAAGUCGAAAUACAAUGUUAUAAAAAGGCAUGUUAAAUUUGAGAAAAAAAAUCCAAGCCGUAUUCAAGAAAGGGCCUUAGUGAAAGGAGGGAAAUGCAGGCUAAUGUGGAGAGAGCUGACAUCAACUUCCGUUAGACGGCUAUUACAGAUCGAACCUUUCGAUUGUAACUGAAACAAUUUGCAUACUGAUUCCCUUUCACAGCCCUGCCGAUCCAUAACAACCCAGACAUCUAUUCAAAUGCAGGUAGCAUCCCUAAAUGCACGGAGAGACCGGCCAAAAAGAGCUACCCGAGUGCAAAGGGGAUAAGAAGACCAAGGAUUUUUCUGCUGGAUGUUGACUAUUAGAUAUUGGAAAUGGUGGAAAGAGAUUAUCUUCUUCCCCGGACAACGGGAUGCAGCGCAUGGGUAAAGAGAGCGAUUGUGCGUGUGGAAUGAUGCUGAGAGACGAUCGUCGCCUUUGCUGUGAAUGCUUUACUGACGUGCAUUUUCAAUGACUAAAUUAUACACUCGUGAUCAAAAGAAGGAAAGUGGUCUGUUUAUUUUAAAUCCAAGUUUGCAAGUAGGCUACAAGUUUGCUUGGGGUUGACCACGAGCUGCGUUUAGCUAUCGGUCGGACGGUAAACGAAGCAACAUUCCAUGAAAGCAUCUAAAAUGCUACGGAUCCGAGGGGUCCUCAAGAAACUAAACAGGGAAAAGUCUUGAAGAAAAGUUAAUCUGCUCCCUUGGCAGCUGUUAGCUUUUGGAGUCUGGAAGCGUCACCUUUGACAUGUCUCCUAUUCAGAGGACGAGGCUCCAAGCACUGAUCACGGCAAGCUGUCAUCGGAAUAGGGGGGAGAGAGGACGCCUUCUUCACAGCACAAACUGUCCUCCGAACGUCAUCAAAAGUUACAAAAUUUGCUUGAUGCUCGAACAAUAGACCCGAGAAUGACUGCUGGAGAUCAAAUUUCGCUGUGAUACUGACAUGUGUCUACUUGGAAAGAAACAUGAUAUUCGAAUUAAAUACUACUCAAUUAUAAUGUUACUUGUUGCGAAGACCCCAAGAAAUUGAAAAUUUGUUGAAAUGAAUAAAUGGCAAAAAUGUGCAAUUAGCUUGAAAUAAGUUAUGUUACAUGUAGGCUAGGUCUGUGUAAUUGUAAACGCGUUCACGAUAUUUAAGUAAUAUUUCGUGUUAUUAUUUGCUUUAAGCAUAUCUGUAUUGUUUAUUUUUUCAUUAAAUUAAAUUUGUUCUGACAGUU